CUUCUCUUCUCUUUGCUUCCUCACUUCAGACUUCAGAGUCUAGACCUCUACUCUUCUUCUUCUUCUUCAUCGUCUUUUUUUUUUUUUUAUAUAUAUAUGUUUUCUCAUUAUUUUUUUUUCUCUGCUGAAUUUUCCUUCAUUUUGAACCCUAAAUUUUUUUGCUUGUUUUGUUUCUUUGAAUUCAAGCUCUGUUAAUGGUGGGCUGUUUUAUCUUUCUGUGGCAAAGGCACAAGGACUGAUCUGUGAAGCUAAUUAAUCUUCUUCAACGAGGGUCACAGAUCUGUCACUUUUGGAUGCUUACAGGCAAAGAUCUUUGAGCAACAAUUUGGUGAAAAAAUAAAAAAGCAACAGAGGAAGCAAGAAAAGGCAAGAAGAGAGACAAACAAGGAGAAAAAUAAAUUCUUUUAAGAGCUGCACAUCUGUAACAUUGUUUCAGUGGCUGAGGCUGGCAUUGCAGGCUUUGCUUUUGAGAGAGAGCCUCUGCAAACUGCAAAAAGCUUACACGAGUGAGAAGCUGAGAAGAGGUUUUCUCUCUCCUGACUUGGACUGUGAUAUAUCGAAUCGUAAAAAAAGGCCUUUUCACAGCCAAAGUACUCUAAUGAAUUAUCUUCAUCAGUGCAUAGGACGCGGCAACCCCACCUCUGCACUUCUUCUAGCCUCUUCAUUUCUCUCUCUCUCUGUAGAAACCCAUACCCAAUUCAGCUCUCCUUCUCUCCAUAGUACAAGAAGAUAAGAAAGAAAGCUAGCUAGAAAGUAGGAAAGCAGACGCAGUGAAAAAGGAAAGAGGAGAAGUGUUUUUAGGGUCUUGGUUUUUUGGAGUUCUUGUUUUGACAAAGGAAUGAAAGUGCUAUGGAGGUUGAGGAGAUUCAGACACAACCCUGCAAGUUCUCUAGAGUUAGUAAUGGCAGAAAUGACACUAGGAAAAUAGGCCAAAAAGGGGAUGGUGACCACCAAUAUCCAGAUGACGAAGAAGAUGGAGAGAUCAAAAGGCCUAAUCCUGGCAGUGGAAGUAUUAGUGGUGCUAGCGGUGAAGGAGGCGAUGCCGGCAGCGCUAAUCGGCUUCGUGGGUGGCACCACUCAUCACGCAUAAUUAGGGUUUCUAGAGCUUCCGGUGGGAAAGAUCGGCACAGCAAGGUAUGGACCUCAAAGGGGCCAAGGGACCGAAGAGUCCGGUUAUCGGUGACCACUGCAAUACAAUUCUACGAUCUCCAAGAUCGGUUAGGGUAUGAUCAGCCAAGCAAAGCAGUAGAGUGGCUGAUUAAAGCAGCUGCAGAUGCAAUAAACGAGCUCCCUUCGCUCAAUGGUUCUUUCCCUGACGCUCCAAAGCAAUUAAGUGGUGAGAAAAGAAACAGUGGCGGUACCGAACAAGGCCUUGAUUCAGCUGAUGUGGAGCUCGAAGACCCCAAUUUUAAUCAGAACCAGCAUCUUUCAUUGUCUAAAUCUGCUUGCAGUAGCACUUCAGACACGAGCAAAGGGUCAGGGCUAUCACUUUCCAGGUCUGAUAUUCGCGUUAACCGUGAAAAGGCUCGUGAGAGAGCAAGGGAGAGGGCUGCCAAGGAGAAGGAGAAAGAGAACGAAUCACUCAUUGCCCAUCACCAGAACAUGAACCCCAUUUCUCAGAACUCCACGUUUACUGAGCUUUUAACGGCUGGGAUUAGUAGCGUAAGCAAUAACAACAGCAACAGCAACAACAAUGGUGCUGCUACUAGUCCUUCUGGUUCUGAGGCUAACUUUUUUCACAACAAGGCAGCCCCGGGGAGGCAGUGGCCCUUGACCCAAAUGGAUUACUUUGGUGCAGGGCUUUUAGGGCCGUCCUCGUCGAGGGCAACCCACCAUCCAUUGGGGUUUUCAGGGCAAAUCCAGUUGGGGAAUUCAAUCCCGCAAGCAAUGACAAUGUCGAUCCCGUCAUUCAAUUUCUCGGGAGAGAAUCACCAGGAGCAAUUGCAGCAUUUUCCUUUCUUUUCCGAUCAUUUGAUCCCAGUAGCCACAUCACAGCCUGGUCCCCGUGGGGACUAUAAUCUGAACUUCACCAUCUCUUCAGGCGUUGCUGGUUUCAAUAGGGGGACCCUUCAGUCCAAUUCAUCAUCACCGUCUCUUUUGCCUCACCUCCAGAGGUUUUCGUCUUCUCCCAUAGACGGCUCAACAAAUGUACCUUUCUUCAUUGGUGCUGCUGGUCCACCGCCACCACCUAUGGAGAAUCAUCACCAUCAUCAGUUCCAUCCACCUGGGUUGCAGCUCUGCUACGGGGAUGGAAACAGGCAUUCUGACCAGAGAGGGAAAGGGAAGAACUGAUCACUGCUCGGAAGCAUGCCAAUCUUCCUGGUUAUGCUUUCCAAUUUAAUGGUAAAAUUCUCAUCUGGAAAGAGCUAGUAUGGGAUAGUGUAUGGAGUUCUUCGACCACUUUUAUGUUAUUAGUGUGCCAAUGUCUAUCGUAGCCGAAGAUUUUGCUGCAAAGGAAGAUCGGGAUGGUGUACUGCUGAAACUAAAUGCAAGUAGAAGCUUCUGAUUGCAUGGUUAUCUUCGUUGGAGCAUACCAUUGGUAUUUAGUAUAAACUUGUUUGCAAUGACCCCUACCCAAAGAAAGCGAAGAUGGAGAAAUAUAUAGCAGCAAGCCACAAGUGAAUGCAUAUGCCUUCCUAGCUAGCAGUGGGUGACAUACCAUAGCAUGAAGCUUCUGAAAGCGUUGGUGUUCAGCUUUAACCAUUCUGGAGUCAGUUCAGGUUGCAUUCUCACAUGUCAGGAUGCAUUUAUGUAUGCGUGCAAAAGCAAUUGUGUGUUUUUUUGAAAUAUGUAGAACAAUUCGAUUGAAGUUAAUUCUUUUUCCCUUGUCUAUGAUUAUUCUGAAAUUGUGUAUACCAUUGGUUGAGCAAAGCACAUGCCUCUUCUCUUGGAAAUUAAUUCGGACUUAAAUGUUUCUAUGAUCACCACCGUUUUUCA